UCUCGAUAGCGUAAAAGUUAACUGAAAUUUGUAUGGAGCUGCCCCGUUUGCCUACGUUUGCCGCUAGGGGCGCUGUUCCAACUGCAUACAAAAUUGAGUUAACUUUUACGUUGUCGA
rnacentral:pre_miRNA from 9 species